rnacentral:misc_RNA from 1 species
AACUUUUGACAAUGGAUCACUUGGUUCUGGCAUCGAUGAAGAACGCAGCGAAAUGCGAUGAGUAAUGUGAAUUGCAGAAUUCAGUGAAUCAUCAAAUCUUUGAACGCACAUUGCGCCCCUGGGUAUUCCUGGGGGCAUGCCUGUCCGAGCGUCAUUUCAACCCUCAAGCACAGCUUGGUCUUGGGCCAUGCCGGGAACGGCCGGCCUUAAAACUAGUGGCGGUGCCGCCGGGCUCUACGCGUAGUAGUUAUUUCUCGCGUUUGGGUCCCGGCGGACGCUGGCCAGCAACCCUCAAUUUUUUAUGGUUGACCUCGGAUCAGGUAGGGAUACCCGCUGAACUUAAGCAUAUCAAUAAGCGGAGGCU